rnacentral:lncRNA from 1 species
GUCUUCCAAAAUUCUCUUUUUUAAUAUUUUCUUUCACCUUUCUAGCUUCUUCUUCUUAGUUAAAUCUUUCGAUCUUAAUUAACGAUUUUGGACUAGCAGAAGGUCUCUCCUGCUACACCUUCCAAAGUUCUCUCUUUUAAUAUUUUCUUUCACCUUUCUAGCUUCUUUUUCUUAGUUAAAUCUUUCGAUCUUAGUUAACGACCUUGAGCUAGCAGAAGGUCUCUCCUGCUACACCUUUCUUCUGCUAUUCUCUACAGUCACUACUAUUAAAUUAUUUGUGCCUUAAAUUUCCAUUAAUAAACAAAACAUCAAAAGUCACAAUUAUUAAAUUGUCUACACUAAAUAUUUCUAUUACAAUUCUAAUACAACUUGGCGGCUUCUUAAACUUGUUCAUAUGCAAAAUUUAACACGGAACAUGAGAAAAGGAGCUUAGCAGGAAGGACAUUCACAUCAUUUGGUCAACUGUUUGAUAGGCAAUGUGUAUGUUUUCUUUUUCCUUCUGUUCAAAUUUCCAAGGCGGCUCUACCCUUAAGGGCCGUUUGAUUUGCAAAUAAUUUUGGGAUAAAAUUUUUUACUCAUCAUUUGGUUGUAAAUAUUUGGGAUAGCUCUCGAGACUAAUAAUUAAUUCUGAGAUAAGUUAUCCACUCAAAUGGUGGGAUAACAAUCCCGAAAUUAUUUUUCUUUGGUAUAAAAUUAUACAAGGACAAAAAUACCCUCUUGGAAUUGUUAUAUAUAAUUAAAUUAUAUAUAAUUAAACAUAAUUAACAUAAUUUAACAUAAUAUAUUAUAAUUAAAUAUAUUAACAUAAUAUAUAUAUAGAAUAUAUUAUGAAUAUAUAUACGUUAAUUAUGUUUAAUUAUAUAUAUAUAUAUUAUGUUAAUAUAUUUAAUUAUAUUAUAUUAUGUUAAUUAUGUUUAAUUAUAUAUAAUUUAAUUAUAUAUAACAUAAUAUAUAACGUAAUAUAUUCUCACACACACAUAAAUUAUGUUUAAUUAACCUAUAAUAUAUUCAUAAAUAAAUAAAUUUUGAACAGUUUACCGUUCAAAAUGGUUGUAAAAUAUAUAAAUUAUGUUUAUUUAUAUAUUUUAAUUUCUCGAAAAAAUAAUAAAAAAAUUUUAAGAAUGAAUAUUUAAAGCUUAAAAAUAAAUAUAUAUAUAAAAAAAGUUAAAUAAGAUAGAUGGUAUUUUGGUAAUCAAUCAAUUUAUUCCUAGAAAUUAUACAAUGCAUAUUACUUUGAAUACAACAAACCAAACACUCAAUAAAAAAUAAUCCCAGCAUAACUAAUCUCAGUAUAACUUAUCUCAUCACAACUUAUCCCAGUAUAACUUAUUUUCAAACCAAACGACCCCUUAUAGAAUAAAGGCGACUGUCUUAGACCCCGAAUUUGAGGGGCCUCAUUUUUUUUUUUAUUAAUAAUAGAUUAUAGAUUUUUUUAAAAAAUUUAAAUAUUAUUUAUAAAAAAAAUAAUUUUUUAUAUAUAAAAAAAUAAUUCAAUAAGUUUGAUUUAUCUGGUAGGCGGUCAAAGUUACCUAAUUUUUGGAUAAAGAGUACCGUUAUAGACUGGUCUGCUUGUCCAUAUUUUUAAGUUUGACCAAUUUCAACUACGUGCAUAGCACAUGUAUUUAUUAAAAAAAAAAAAGUGUAAGCAAGACAACUCAAGCAUAUUGAUGGUAUAAGGUAAAAAUUAAAUUGAGGUUUUAAAUUUUUAAAAAAGUAAUUUUUUUUAUUAAUUAUAUUUUCUAAAUUAUAUAAUUAAUUUUUUUAAAUUUUUCUUUUUUUUUUAAGUAAUAAUAUAGUAGAGCCGCCCUGUUUUUAAGAUGGUCAAGUUUUCUUAUAAGUGACUCAUCUAUGUAUAUUGUAAACAUUUAAAGAAGAGGUGACUCAUCUAAAAUGAGUGGACUGUAUAUAGUAUGAGAACUGAUUUUUGUACUUCAAAGUAAAUAAUUAAGCUUUUAAUUAAAUGCACCAUCAAGCCUUUUUGUUGCAUGAAUUUCAAAAGAUGAUAUUAGAUUAAUUUAAAAAAUAUGUAUAUAAAAUAUUUAGUUUUGUCGAAAAAGCAUAAAUUCACAUGCCUCAAAAAUUACAAAUAAAUUCACUUUUGACUUAAAGUAUUUAUAAGUAAGAAGCUUUAGGUUGAAAAAAUAAAUCAUGUAUGAGCAAAAAUAUGCGAAUAUUUUUGUUAGAUGGUUUCCGAAUUUUCUUUUUCGUUAAUAUAUAUAUGGAUGGGUGUUUACUUUUUUUUUUUUUUUGAGAAUUUGAUUUAUACGAUUAACUGUGCGACACUUUGUGCAUUCAAGAUUAUCUAUUAUUUUAUAUCGAAAGCUUAUGAACUCAAUAACUGUCUUUUGUCUUGAGCCGAGGAUCUGUCGGAAACAGUCUCUCGACCUCUUUAGAGGUAGUGAUAUGGACUGCGUAUACUCUACCCUCCCCAGACCUCAUUAUGUGGGAAGAUACUGGGUUUGUUGUUGUUAUUGUUGUUGAAAACUUAUGAAUUUAAAUUUGAGAUUUUUAUUGUAACAUCCGAUAUAUGCGGAAAAAUUCAAUCUAAAUUAGAAUUUGAUUUAAAUAAAUAUUUUAUUUCCAAAAUCCCUUAAAUAAUUAUGAGAAAAAAAAAUGAUUAUGAUACGUGACACCUCCACUUCCAUGUUGAAGUAGAGGGAUGGAUUGUGCAGCAUAUAUCAAUAAUGGGGUAGUUAUUACCUAGCACUUUUAAAGUAAUUAAUUAAAAUAUAAUAGACAUCAUUAAUAUACGUCGGCCAAACAAACCCUUAUUUUAUAUAUUCUUUCUGUUUUAUUUUAUUUGACAUCUAAAUUAAAAAUAAAUAUUUUAAUUUACUUGUUUAUUUUCAUAAAUCAAUAGAUUAAGUGUAUAAAUGAAUUUUUUGAGCAAAUUUAAGGGGUCGUAUAUGUGUUUGGCCUAUUAAAUAACUACAUAAAGUAAUAAUAGUAUAAGUGUUCUAAAUAUUAUUAAUAAGGUUAAUUUAAUAUUUCUUACAAAAUAUACUAAAUUAAUAACGAUCAAAUAAUAUAAAAUAAAAACAGUUAAAAUAUAAAGUUUGAUGUCAAAAAAGGGUCAACUAAUAUAAAAUAAAAACAGUUUAAAUAUAAAGUUUAGUAUCUAAAAAACAAAAUUUAAAACUUACGAGUCAAAAUGAGAACUCCAACCAACCAAAACGGACUCUCCUUAAAACUUACCUACCAAAAGACACAAUUUGUCUGAAAAUAGGCGAAUUGUAGGACUCCCGUUAAAGUCAAAAUUAUUUUUAUCUACAUAUAAAAUUAUUUAGGUACAUUCAAAUUUUAGGAGGGUUUUAUUAUUUUUGGACUAACUAAAAUUAUAUUUUUGACAAUCUUAGUGCUACAUGGUACAUACAUGACGCAUACGUGUGCCUACGUGGACCUUCAGUGUGUUGAUUCACUGAUGUGCCACGUAUAUGCCACGUAGGUACUAAGGUUGUCAAAAAUACAGUUUUAACUAGUCCAAGGGAUAAUAGGAUCCUCCUAAAGUCGAGUGCGUCAGCAAUUUCUUUUAUAGUUCAUGGUGAAAACAAUACAUUUACUCUUUUUUUAAUUACUAGUUUAUUGUACGCGCUUUGCGCGUGUAUUUAAUAUUGAAGAAGAAAAUUACAUAUAUUUGUCUGUGCAAUAUUUAAAUCUUUAGUUAAAAAUAAUGUGACAUCGUCAGCGAAAAACAUAAUUCAAUGUUUAAUAUAGUAUCAAAACUGCAAAAUGUUCCAGUUAAAAAGUUACAUUAUCUGCAACAUUAUAUUCAAUUAAAUCACAAAUAUAUGUACAUUUAAAUAGAUGCAAUGUUAAUAUCUUUAAUUUUGAACAUAAUAAAAACAUCAACGAUUACUCAAUGUAAUUUUAACAAUGAAGUUUAGAGAGAGUGGAUUUAAGCAUAUCUCAUCCUUAUAUUGUGAGUUAGAGAAGUUAUUUAUGAUAGACAAUAAAAUCUCAUUUUAUAGCAGACUUUCCAUUGACUUUUACAGCAGAAUCAAAUAAUUUUUCGUAAUCUUCUUCAUAAUUGAUGAGAAGUUCCUUCUUAUAACCAUUAUUCUCCCUGUUUUCUCCUGAAACUAGCUAUACUAUUACUAUUACACAUUAAAUAUACGUCAAUUUGAGGUAAAUACUAGAACAUGUUCAAUAAAAUAAACAAAAGAUCAAAUGUCAAACUAUGUUUGCUAACGAUUGUUGGUUAUAAAAGGACAAUCAAGAAAAGCACUUUGUUUGAAGUGAAGAAACCUGGGAUGGUUAAGAGGACAAUGAAUUUGGUGUGAGAGACACCAUGCAUUCGUUUGUGAGAACUUGUUUAGCGUUUGUUUAAGGUGUCUGUAUUUGUAGGAUUUUUUUUGAACUCUUUAAUUAAUACUAUGUGUAGCGUUUGUUUAAGUUAUCUGUAUUUGUAGGGUUUUUGGGACACUUUAAUUAUUACUAUAUUUUUUAGAAUUCCUGUUUCGCACAAACAAGGAAAAGAAGAUGUACAGACAUUAAUUGUCAUAUAUUAUUAAUUUAAUAUUUUAAUUAAAAAUGUCCUAAAAUAAUUUCAUUGGUUAUAUUUUGUUAAAAUUGUAUACUCCUGCCCCUAAAAAAUUGUUUGCACGUUUUUUCUUCAACGAAACCUGUAGACAUUUAAUUUCUUCUUUUGCAUAUAUUCUUGGUAAUUUUUUAUGGUUUACUAUAUAUUUUAAGAGUUCUUAUUAUUUGGGUUUUAAUUUUAGAAUUCUUAAAUUAAUGAAAAAGAUAUUAGUUGUCAUUAAUUCUAAUGACUUCUAAUAAGAAAAUGUUUUACAAUAAAUAUUUAGUUAAUUUUCAACUCUUAAAUAAUAGAAAAAUAAUGAAAAGACGAUUUUGUCUAAAGCAGAUACUUUUAAUGAAAGGCAGAAAGUUCAAUUCAUUUUUCUAAGGGUCUUCACAUUUUUAAUAUAUUAUAGAUAUAGAUAUAGAUUAUAGAUUAUACAUAUAGAUAUAGAUUAUAGAUAAUUUAUUAGAUAAUAAAAAAAUAGUUUUUGAAGGUUCGCCCCUAAAAUAAUUUUCCUUUUCUAUCUGAAUAAUAACAAAAUAUUCAGACAGAAAUUUAAAAAGGAUAAAGUAUAUAUGAACCAUACCAUCAUACCAAUAAUAGAAGCAAUAUGUAGUAAACUAUUUACAGAAGAAUUAUGAAAAUACAUAAAAUAUUUGUCUUUUAGUUGUAGAGUAGAGAGUUUAGUGAUGAAUUGCAUGGAUGCAUGUCUCAUGCUUGUUCCUACUUCCUAUUAGUAGUUUCAUCUCAACAAAGUGGAAAUGUAGUUCGUCAGUUUUUGGGCGACCCCACUAAAAUAGUUUUUUUUAAUCUAGUAAAAAAUAAAAAUAUAUAUAUACACAGAGGCGGAGCCAGCCCUCUUUAGGGGUUUAUUUGAAUCUCCUUCAACAAAAAAAUAUACUAUUUAUAUAUGAUAAAAAUAAUUUUUUAUAUGGUUAUAGUAGGUGUUAAAUCCUCUUCAAUUUAAAUUUUUUUAAUAUUGAACCCCCUUACUUAAAAUUUUAGCUCCGUCUCUCUCUCUGUAUAGACACACUAAGUUGGACGACUUUAGUUUGUGCUUUUCUUUCUCGUGCUUCUUCUGCUUUAGUACUACCAAAUGCCUCUGCCCCACAAGUUCGGCACAGGCCCUCCUUCUCCAUGACAUUUGGGAUUUAAAUUGAAAUAUAUGUUAAGAGAACUCAGAAUCAAAAUAAGUCAAUAAAUAAUAAAAGUGAUUAAAAUAUAUUAUUUAUUUAAAAUAUUAUUAAAAUAGAUUAAAUAUAAUAAUUUAUUAUAUUUUUCACUUUUUUUAAACGAUUAAUUAACAGAGUUAACUAUUUUAAAAAUGUAAAAAUUUAUUAUGUUGUAGUUAUUUAUUUAUAAAACAUAACAAUUUCUUACGUUUUAUCAAAAAAAUAAGUAAAAUGUAAGAAAUUUUUAUGUUUUACAUGAAACUCAAGAUAAGAGAAAGACAAUGAUUUGUGAAAUUAGUAAUAAAAGUUAUUUUUUAAAAAAUUAUCCUAAAACGUCAGAAUUUCUUGUUAGGAUUUUUGCCCUGAUUUUCUUACUAUAUUUAAGUUUUAUUUUUUCUUAGAAGGAAAAUAAAAGUUACCAUAAUUAUUUUUACUUUUCCUGAAAAAAAAUAUAAAACUUUUUCAUAUUUGGCAAACCUCUUUCUUAGUGGAAAUGUUUUGAAACUUUAUAAAUAAAUGACCCCCUUCUCAUGUCAUAACACAAUAGAAUCUACAAUGUAUUCUUUAAAGAGUAUUUGUUUAGGGGGAGAUUUUCUCUAUCAUUAAUUUUUAUGUUUUUAUAUUUGGUUUUAUAUGUAGGUCAAUUGGUCAAAUAAUAUAAUAAUAUUAAAUUUUUUAGUAUUGUUUUAUAUGUCUUCUGAAUUGUCACCGUAAUGAUUUGCAACUAACAGCUUUCGCAUAACGCCCUUACGAUUUCGAACCCAACAUUUCUUACGUGUUUUACUUUUUGCAGCAAAAAAGUGGUCUCCAUCCCCCCACUUUUUCCACUCUCUCUUAACUUGGACCAAGGAAUUAAGUAAAAUAUAUUCACCAACUUUACAUACUGAUUUUCUUGCAAAAUGACAUUGGUAUAAAUUGAUUGGGGUUUUGGUGUUCUU